UUUGUGUGUUAGUGUAUGUAUGUGUGUGUUAGUGUAUGUGUGUGUUAGUGUGUGUGUUUGUGUGUGUGUGUGUGUGUGUUAGUGUUUGUGUUUGUGUGUUAGUGUGUGUGUUAGUGUGUGUUAGUGUAUGUGUUUGUGUGUGUGUGUCAGUAUGUCUGUCUGUGUGUCAGUAUAUAUGUGUGUGUAUAUCUGUGUGUCAGUAUGUGUAUGUGUCAGUAUGUCUGUCAGUGCGUCAGUAUGUCUGUUAGUGCAUGUGUAUGCAUGUGUCAGU